rnacentral:misc_RNA from 1 species
UUAAGUUCAGCGGGUGGUCCUACCUGAUUUGAGGUCAAGUUUAUCAACUCCAACGACAUAUAGCAGCAGCCAUGAGACCUUUUUCCAUCAGAUGCAGAUAAUUAUCACACCUAACAGAGGUUCGACCACUCAUGCAUUUCAGGGGAGCAGACUACAAGAAAGAGCCUGCAUAAACCCCCAAUUCCAAGCCACACCACCGU